CUGGCCCCUCGGAGGUAGCGUUCAUUGAGUAACCGCAAGGGUCAAAGUCAAAGUCGCAUAUAUUUGGUUCUGGAAGAAUUUUCUGAAUGCCUGAAAUUUCAGUCAUCUCAGCAGCAGUGCUUGAUUGAGUCUUGAAAAAUACGGAUGCCUUCUUCUUGUCGAGACUAGUCAUGCACAUCUCCAGUGUAUAAACUGGAUUCGGGUUAUUGGCAUUGGCAGAUUCAGCUGAAGCAGAAUAGACAUGCCAGUUCUGUUGUUUAUC
rnacentral:lncRNA from 1 species